rnacentral:rRNA from 1 species
GGCUCCCUGCCUCUUUUUAUAGGGAGUCGUACCUGCUCAGUGUAAUAGUUUUAACAGCCGCGGUACUCUGACCGUGCAAAGGUAGCAUAAUCAUUUGCCUUAUAAUUGAAGGCUAGUAUGAAUGGUUUGACGAGAAUUAAGCUGUCUCUUUUUAACUAAAUAUAAAUUUAUAAGUAGGUGAAGAAGCCUAUAUUGAAUUGAAAGACAAGAAGACCCUAUCGAGCUUUAAAUAAUUUAGUAGGCUAAUAUUAUAUUUAUAAAAAAGUUAAACUAUUAAAUAUUUUAGUUGGGGCGACUAAGGAACAAAAGAAGCUUCCUUUAUUUCACAAGUUACAUACAAGUAUUGAUCCAGCAAAUCUGAUUAAAGGAAUUAGUUACCGUAGGGAUAACAGCAUAAUCUCUCUUGAGAGCCCUUAUCGAAAGAGGGGUUUGUGACCUCGAUGUUGGACCAGAAUGUCCGGAAGAUGCAGCAGUCUUCAAUGGUUGGUCUGUUCGACCAUUAAAAUUCUACGUGAUCUGAGUUCAGACCGGCGUGAGCCAGGUCAGUUUCUAUCUUCAAUUAUUAUAAUAGCUUUAGUACGAAAGGACCAAAUUAUUGCAACUUUUUGUUAUAAAUUGAUUUAAUAUAAUAAUCUAUUAAGUUUAUAAAAUAUCAAAUUAGCAAAGAUUAAUGCAAUUGACUUAGGAUCAAUAGACAUAGGUGGAAUCCCUUUAUUUGAUAAAAUUUAAAAAUAAAGAUGGCAGAAUAA